CAAGUAGAAUAUGAUAUGACCAUAACAUUUUAUCUUUGAUUUAUUGCACAAGACAGACAUGCACAAGUCUAAACCAGUCCUGUCUACUCCUAUGUGUUCCACAAUCAAACUCUCUGCUAUCGAUCGGCCUUCAUUUGAGGACCCUCCAGUACCUUUCCUUUACCCGGUCUGAUUUUUCCUUUGCCAUCAACAAAGUCUAUCAGUUCAUGCAUUAUCCACGUGUCUCUCUCAUUGGCAGGCUGUCAAGCGUAUUUUACGCUAUCUCCAUCACACGUCUAUCCUUGGUCUCUACUUUUCCUCAUCGUCUUCGUUUAUACUUCCUGCCUUCUCAGAUGCCGAUUGGGCAGGGUGUCCAGAUGACCGCAAAUCAACUCAACGGGUGCUUUUUGUGUCUAUUUUGGCUCGCGCCUCAUUUCUUGGGGCUCUAAGAAGCAACCCACCAUAGCUAGAUCUUCAACAGAGGCUGAAUACAAGGUAAAAGGGUGCAGCUAAAACACUUGAAGUUGCAUUUGUUUCAAGCAAAGAUCAAGUGGCAGACAUCCUGACAAGGCCACUAUAUCUCCGAUUCGAUUCAACCUACUUCGCUCAGCUCUUACUAUCUCCCCGUGCAACUUCACUCGAGGGGGACCAUUGAGGCCUGGACCAUGCCAGCACCAAUUCAACAUGCCAGGACUCCUGUGGAUGAAAAUAACAGAAUCCCAUUUAUGUGAUCCUCUAGAAUUGUUGUGCACAUCAGAAAAUGAUGGGUUGUACAGCUGAGAUUUAAUCUUGUAAUUGUUUGUUAUGAUUUGGUCAUGUAAUGUUGUCUAUAAAUGCUCACUAU